rnacentral:rRNA from 1 species
AUUGAACGCUGGCGGCAUGCUUUACACAUGCAAGUCGAACGGUAACAGGGUGCUUGCACCGCUGACGAGUGGCGAACGGGUGAGUAAUGCGUCGGAACGUGCCGAGUAGUGGGGGAUAACGCAUCGAAAGGUGUGCUAAUACCGCAUACGUACUGAGGUAGAAAGUGGGGGACCUUCGGGCCUCACGCUAUUCGAGCGGCCGACGUCUGAUUAGCUAGUUGGUGAGGUAAAGGCUCACCAAGGCGACGAUCAGUAGCGGGUCUGAGAGGAUGAUCCGCCACGCGGGGACUGAGACACGGCCCAGACUCCUACGGGAGGCAGCAGUGGGGAAUUUUGGACAAUGGGCGCAAGCCUGAUCCAGCCAUGCCGCGUGUCUGAAGAAGGCCUUCGGGUUGUAAAGGACUUUUGUCCGGGAGCAAAUGCCUGGUGUUAAUAGCACUGGGAGCUGAGAGUACCGGAAGAAUAAGCACCGGCUAACUACGUGCCAGCCGCCGCUGUAAUAC